GGUAAGGUGGCCGAGUAGGCGGCAGGUUGUAGCCCUGAAGACAGAGGUUUAAGUCCUCUCUUUACCA
rnacentral:tRNA from 1 species